GGCUGAGACUCGGCUACUUGUUACAAGAGCACUUCCAAUCUCUGUACACAUCCAGGACUGUGUCUGCUUUUACGUCGAUGUAGAAGAUAAAGGAAGCUGACUUCAAGACAACUGCCCUUCCUAAUAAUGAUGAUGGGAUUUGGUUGAGUCACAUGCUACACUCAUAUUGCCUCUAACUCCCCCAGGAUUUAUAUUCCUCGAAACUACAUACACCGUCAUAUGUUCAUAGUGUAAUUUUGUCAUUUCUACACUUUGUGUCCGUUCCUGUUCUAUAUCUUAAUAAUUUCUGGAAGACACUCUCUACUUUCUUAUUAAAAGUAAAUAUAUUUGGCCCAAAAAAA
rnacentral:lncRNA from 1 species